UUAUAUAUGGUUAUUGACCCGGAAGUCAUGAGCACUCAGACCAUUGGUGAAUGGCCUUACGGCCUUAUGGCCCCCCAACUGCUCAGUCAGAAAAAGGGGGGGGGGGGAGGGGAGAAAACAGCCCAUUGUAAAGCAAAGGAGAAAGAGCAGUUAAGUAGUGGUGCCCCUCCACAGUGCCAACAUAUGACCCUCCAAGCAGGAGGUGACUUUCAUAAUGCAAUGCUUAAAAAAAAAAAAAAAAAGAAUGCAUGUAAUCUAGUACACAGGGAUUCUAUUUAAUUGGCUUAAGUCUAUCAUAAGCAAGCUCAACCUGUUCAUGACAUGAACAUGACUUCUGAAAACCUCAAAAUACAGUUUUUUAUCACAGCAAGAUAAGAUUAUAACCUGACCAGAAUUUGGAUACUAAAUGGAUACAACAACACAUUAUCCAUCAGGUGGUCGGUUGUGAGGAAACUCAGACACAUAGAUAUGCCCAGUGACCCAUGUGGAAAGGUUGGUUCAAGUAACAAAGGACUGAUUUUCAAUCUUAAAAGUAGAUAAUUGAUUCUUAUCUAAAUUAUAUAAAGGGGCGGACCCUUUAACCUUGCAACACAAACCUUUAUCUCUGGCUAGUUAAGGUCCCUCCAGAUCUUAAAGACAGUAAACAUAGCAGCCCUGUCCAGCAGUGGCUUCAAGAAUGUGGUAAGGGCACCAACCCGUGGAGGCAGUGGAAGGACCAUACAGUCAAUUAUAAAAGUUUUACUGUCAAUCAGUCAAUUUAGCCAGUGCCAGUGAGUCUGGUUUACUUUAAGCAGAUAUCAAACACAUCUUCAUCCAACGCUGUGUGUUUUAGAAAGACACAUAAUAUUGAUGUUUUGCAUUAAAACAAAACAUGUAUUAUGUGUCGAAUAAAACACACAGCGUUGCAGUUUACUGCUUGCUGAUGAAGAUGCUAUGGAGCUUGGAAGAUGACAGCGCGUCAAAGGCGAUGAUGACAGAUGCCAUACUAGGGACGCGCUCUUGCUAGUGAGGUGAAAGAUCCAUCGAUAUUUGGUAAGGUGACCCAAUUUGCAUAGAGAUAUAUAGGAUUCAUAGACUGCUUUCUUCAUCCAACGCUGUGUGUUUUAUUCGACACAUAAUACAUGUUUUGUUUUAAUGCAAAACAUCAAUAUUA